CAGCAGCAGGGGAGGUACUGGGUCAUCUGCCAUGAACUCCCAAGAGGGUCAGCUGGGGGCAGAACACUGAAGUUUCACCCAGGGUGGCCAAUUGUCUUGAGCUACCUCUGUGCACAAGCAAGUUUGGAUGUGUGCAUAUGUGGUCAGUUAAGUACAUGUAAACUUAUGUAGUUUUGGGGUAUCUCAUAGGCUCCUGGUAAACUGCUAAUCUAGCCCUUUGCAUUGCAAAUUUGGAUCACUUCUCUUUAGGGCUGGGUAAGAAUAGCAGUGACAUGCCAGCAAGUUGCUGGGGAGGAACAUGCUCCUUUGUUUAAAGGGCCUGUGUUCUAGUGGAAGAGGAAGAGAUGCUAGAGUUUCUCUUUUGUUCCUAAGAUGAGGCCCAAUUUUCAAUUGUUUUUUUUUUUAAUAUAACGUUACAUAUGCAAAUCUAAAAUGGUCACAAGCAUCAGCAUCUGAUCAGAGUGGAAAAUAACCUGGCUCAUGUUUGUGACCUAAGACAAUUUGCUAUUUGAAACAAAAUCCACAAUUGUCAAGCAAACAGCUGAGUUUGAUUAAAAUGAAGGCUGCAGCUGCCUAUAUUUUGAUCUGCUUGAACUUCACCUGUUCAUGGCUGAAUCAGCCUUUGAAAAGGUCAUUCGUCGGGUCAGCAAACUGAGGGUGGAAUUUUAUUUCUGAGUGGGGAACUUACAGGAUGGUGGUGUAGAUUAGCCAACCUCAAACAUGCAGAGUUAAUGAAUCCAGCCCCCUAAAACCAUGAGACUUGCCUAAAAAUCAUGAGAUUAAAACCAAAAAAAGCAUGUUAGUUUUUUGUUGUUGUUGCCUUUUGGAUUCUGAGCCUUUAGAAUGUGUUUUCUUCAUGUUUCAAGCUUUUUUUUUUUUUUCUGCAACCAUAAAAGCUAGAGAUUAUUAUUAUUAUUAUUAUUUAUUUUUUUUAAAUGAAAGCUGAGAGUCUCAUAAAGGCUCAUGAGCUCAGUAGUAAGGAAGGGCUUGAAGAAAACAACUUAAAAAAAAAAAUCACAAGAUUAGUGAUUGGUGCAUAGAGGCUGCUCAAGACAAUCUGCUGUGCUGGGCAAUACUGAUGGAGACUGGGUUUCCAUAGUGCCCAUUGGUGGUCCAUGGAAGCAUUGCACGGAUGAAUUAGAUCUGUGCGGCAAGGUCUGUUGUGAACAUAGUGAGUCUUCUGCUCUUCCCAGUUUCUAGAAUGUUCUGCUUGUGGGCAUAUACAUUAGCAGCAUUUUUGCAGAGCUGCCUAGCAGUCUUAGAUGCCCCAUUCCAUGUUCAGCUUUGAAAGCCUCAGCCAAUGCAUAUUUGCAUCUUUCCAGUUAUGGAGAUGCUGUGUGCACAGAUGGAGGGCAGUGCAUGGAAUGCUCAGCUGUUUCCAGAUGUGAGAGAAGAAGGUAUCCAUCUGUGUCAGGAGAAACCUUUGAGCUCUAUGGUCCUGUCUUUCUUUUCUUUUUGGAACAACUCUGCCGGAGGGUUGCUUCUCCUGCCAACUCCUGAUGCCUCUGGCCCCUCGUUUGCCUUUUCUUUGGCCUCAUCUCUGUUACGAGGGGUUGGUUUUUUGUUUUUUUCAAAAGCACUCAGCAUUGGCCUACUUCUGCUGUGCAACCUGCCCCGGACCCAAUUACAAGUGUUGGGGUCGGUCAGAUGUAAUUUGCAGAGAAUAUAUUCAGGCUUGGUUCAGGUUAAGUAGCCUCUUAUCACUGAGGGCUUGUUUAGGUGAACAAUUGGUAUGGGGUGAGUUGGGGCAAGAAACUAUCCUACACUAGCUUGCCAGGGUCUAACUGUCCAUGUGCAUAUACACCCUGGUGAAGCGCAUAUGAACAAUUUAACAGGCUUUGAUCUAGUCCUGUUUCAAAGAUGCAACUGGAUAGCUAGACCGUGGCAGGUUAGUGAGGGGUAGACUUACAGCCCAGCUUGGUGCAAACUAAUUAUUCACGUAGAUAGCCCUUAGUUUGAAGUGUGUAUAUUUUGGAUUAUUAUAUUUCGGGAUGUUGGGUACAAAACAACUCUACACACUCAGGCUAGGGUUGGGUUUGAGAUUGGCUGUAGUCUACUUAGGUUUGGGUUGGGCUUCUGAAUUAGGUUGUGCUCUGCUCCAGUUGAAGUCGGUGAUGGAGAUUUCAGUGGCAGCUGAAAAUUCCACCCACCGACCUCAGCCAUGCUGGGAACCUGGAUAUAAUGUGGUCAGCCCCUGGACUCCGUUACAAUCUGGCUCGUUUUGGCUGGGUACAUGGAACAGAGAUAAGGGCAGUUAAGUCCCAUCUACCUCACAACGUGGAUUUACAUUGUAAAUGUGUCUUAUGAUACAUUUGACCCUUAAGGCCCCAUCCAUGCUAACUACAACCUUGUUCAAAUGCAGUUUCUGCUAGCAGCAUUCUAACACCAACUGACUAUUGAUGAGAGCAGUUAUUUUUUUGAGAACCAGGAUAGACCUAAAGUUCCAUCCAUACAGCAAGAUGUCGGGGGACCAUGUUGAAAGAUGGGUUGGCAUUCUCUGGAUAAACAUGCCUGAAAUGUAAAACCAUGUUUCUGUCCUGUAAAUAACAGAAUUCCAUAACGCAAUCUGAUCACACCUACACAAACAAGGUCAAAUUGUAUUAUAAUGCAGUCCCUGCUACCUUCCAACAUGUUAAAUUUUUAGACUGUCCCCAGAGAUCAUUUUUUACCAUGGUUUUAUAACAUGAGUCUCUAAUCAAUAAUCCCUACAUCCCCAAUGGGUAGGGAAACCAUGCUUGCAUGCUAACGAAUAUGUUUAAAUAUGGCUUUAGUUAGCAUAUCUCUGAUCCCAGCAGGGACAAAGUAUCAGUUACCUAGGUUAGUGGUUUUCAA